AACGAACGCUGGCGGCAUGCUUAACACAUGCAAGUCGAACGCUAACACUUGGUACUUUGCCCGCUUGGAUAAGAGCCGAACAGGUGAGAAAUACGUGAGUAACCUGCCCUUAACUCUGGGAUUAACCUGUGAAACUGGUUCUUAUACUGGAUACAACUUGUCACAGCAUGGAUGGCGAGUGUUAAAGGGCUCUACUGUUUUUGGAUGGGCUCUCGGACUAUCAUCUUGUUGGUGGGGUGAUGUCUCACCAAGACGACCACUGGUAGCCCGCCUGAGAUGAUGACCCGCCCCGCUGGUACUGAGACACCCCCAAUACUCCUACAGGAGGCAGCGGUGAAUAAUAUUGCACGAUGGGCGAAAUCCUGAUGCCACGACGCCUCUUGAAGGAUGACCGUCUUCUUGUUGUAAACCUCUUUCAACACGGAAGAAGCUAAACUGACUGUACUUGUAAAAUAACCUCCCGCUAACUACAUGCCACCACUCACUCUAAUACAUAAGGCGCAAGCGUUCUCCGGAAUUAUUGGGCGUACAGAGCUCCUAGGCGGUUUGUCCCGUCUGCUGUGAAAGCCCGGGGCAUAACCCCUGGUGUGCAUUGGGUACGGGCAUACUUUAGUGCAUUACGGGAUACUGUAAUUCCUGGUGUAGCGGUGAAAUGCGCAUAUAUCAGGAGGAACACCGAUGGCGAAGGCAUGUCUCUGGGCUGUUACUGACGCUGAGGAGCGAAAGCAUGGGGAGCGAACAGGAUUAGAUACCCUGGUAGUCCAUGCCGUAAACAUUGGGCACUAGGUGUGGGGAACAUUCCACGUUUUCCGCGCCGUAGCUAACGCAUUAUCGUGCCCCCCCUGGGGAGUACCGCCGCGAGGCUUACACUCAAAGGAAUUGACGGGGGCCCGCACAAGCGAGCGGAGCAUGCGGAUUUAUUCUGAUGCAACGCAAAGAACCUUACCAACGCUUGACAUACAUCCGGACGAGGCUCCAGAGAUGGUCUUUCCCCCUUGUGGGAAUUGUGUACACGUGGUGCAUGGCUGUCGUCCGCUCUUGUGCGUGAGAUGUUGGGUUAAGUCCCCCAACGAGCGCAACCCUCUUUCUAUGUUGCCAGCACGUGAUGGCGGGGACUCAUACGACACUGCCUGGAUCAACUCAGAGGAAGGGGGGGAAGAAGUCAAAUCAUCAUGCCCCUUAUGUCUUGCGCUUCCAGCAUGCUACAAAGGGCAGUACAAUGGGUAAGGAUCCCGGGAGGAGCAGGUAAUCCCAAAAAAGUGGUUUCAGUUCGGAUUGUGGUUUGCAAAUUGGCCUCCAGAAGUUGGAGUUGGUUGUUAUUGCAGAUCAGGAACGCUGCGGUGAAUACGUUCCCGGGCCU
rnacentral:rRNA from 1 species